AGUUUAUCAAUUGUAUUUAGUUUGUAAUUCAAACUAUAGUACCCUGCUUGAAAGUCUUAUAAAAUUUAAUCUUUCAAUGAAGAAAACGCCUUCAUUGAUUAUUGUUGUUGUUAGUACUUAUCUUUCUGUAUGUCUUUAAGCUUUGAAAGUCUGAUCUGUGGUUUUUCCUGUAAUAGCUGCUUGGGGGUUGCUUAUAUUCAAGAAUUGGGAAAACCCGCCUCUUUUGACACUUUACUGCACAUUUCCUGCUCAAAAUUUCAAACUUGCUACUACUAAGUUUACUCUUUUGAGGCCAUUCACUAGACUGCACAAAGGAAAUCUGUUUCAGAAUUUAAAAGCAAAUUACUAAUACAACUCAAAGAGGACAACUCAUCUGAGGUUCCCAUCUGAUCCCUGGGAUGGCAUCGCUGAAUUAGCUAAUGAUUUGAUUCGAGGAAUGCUCUGUGAAGGUCCUUCAAAAAGGCUCACCGCUCACCAGGUUUUAGGUAGUUUAAGUAACGAUUGCAGUAACAGAGUUUGCUCAAAUAAACACGUUCCUUGAGAAUCUGAGAUCAUUCUAGCUAGCAUUUGUAAAUAUGAUACGAGUUAAAGUUGAAUGUUUGUAGUAUGAGGUUUGAUAUGAAUUUUUUUUAAGGGUAUCAUACCAUAUCCCAGUACACUUCCAAGUUUGGAAUACAAGUCUUCUUUCAUUUGUUUCUUUCUUCACCUUGAUGCAGAAGCUAGAGCCUGAAAUUUGAAUACCAAACUACGACUUCUUGGAAGAAUACCUCAAAACAAAUUACCACUUUCCGAUUAGUCAUAA